rnacentral:rRNA from 1 species
GGCGAACGCUGGCGGCGUGCUUAACACAUGCAAGUCGAACGGUAAGGCCCUUCGGGGUACACGAGUGGCGAACGGGUGAGUAACACGUGGGUGAUCUGCCCUGCACUUCGGGAUAAGCCUGGGAAACUGGGUCUAAUACCGGAUAGGACCACUGCCUGCAUGGGUGGUGGUGGAAAGCCUUUGCGGUGUGGGAUGGGCCCGCGGCCUAUCAGCUUGGUGGUGGGGUGAUGGCCUACCAAGGCGACGACGGGUAGCCGGCCUGGGAGGGUGACCGGACACACUGAGACUGGGGUACGGCCCGGACUCCUACGGGGGGCAGCAGUGGGGAAUAUUGCACAAUGGGAGCAGGCCUGAUGCAGCGAAGCCGCGUGAGGGAUGACGGCCUUCGGGUUGUAAACCUCUUUCAGCACCGACGAAGCGCAAGUGACGGUAGGUGCAGAAGAAGGACCGGCCAACUACGUGCCAGCCGCCGCCGUAAUAC